ACGGGAGGCAGCAGUGAGGAAUAUUGGUCAAUGGGCGUAAGCCUGAACCAGCCAAGUAGCGUGAGGGAUGACUGCCCUACGGGUUGUAAACCUCUUUUGUUUGGGAAUAAAGUAGACUACGUGUAGUCUUUUGCAUGUACCUUUCGAAUAAGCAUCGGCUAAUUCCGUGCCAGCAGCCGCGGUAAUACGGAAGAUGCGAGCGUUAUCCGGAUUUAUUGGGUUUAAAGGGAGCGUAGGCGGCCUGUUAAGUCAGCGGUGAAAUGCAGGGGCUCAACCCCGGCACUGCCGUUGAAACUGGCGAGCUCGAGUACGGAUGAAGUCGGCGGAAUGUGAUGUGUAGCGGUGAAAUGCUUAGAUAUGUCACAGAACACCGAUUGCGAAGGCAGCUGACUAAUCCGCAACUGACGCUCAGGCACGAAAGCGUGGGGAUCGAACAGGAUUAGAUACCCUGGUA
rnacentral:rRNA from 1 species